CCUACGGGAGGCAGCAGUGGGGAAUUUUGGACAAUGGGCGCAAGCCUGAUCCAGCCAUGCCGCGUGUGGGAAGAAGGCCUUCGGGUUGUAAACCACUUUUGUCAGGGAAGAAACGGCUCUUACUAAUAUUAGGGGCUAAUGACGGUACCUGAAGAAUAAGCACCGGCUAACUACGUGCCAGCAGCCGCGGUAAUACGUAGGGUGCAAGCGUUAAUCGGAAUUACUGGGCGUAAAGCGUGCGCAGGCGGCUCUGCAAGACAGAUGUGAAAUCCCCGGGCUCAACCUGGGAACUGCAUUUGUGACUGCAUGGCUAGAGUACGGUAGAGGGGGAUGGAAUUCCGCGUGUAGCAGUGAAAUGCGUAGAUAUGCGGAGGAACACCGAUGGCGAAGGCAAUCCCCUGGACCUGUACUGACGCUCAUGCACGAAAGCGUGGGGAGCAAACAGGAUUAGAUACCCUGGUAGUCCACGCCCUAAACGAUGUCAACUGGUUGUUGGACGGCUUGCUGUUCAGUAACGAAGCUAACGCGUGAAGUUGACCGCCUGGGGAGUACGGCCGCAAGGUUGAAACUCAAAUGAAAUUGACGGCNGAGACGAGCGAGGACGACGACGAGGGAGAGG
rnacentral:rRNA from 1 species